rnacentral:rRNA from 1 species
GAUGAACGCUGGCGGCGUGCCUAAUACAUGCCAGUCGAGCGAACGGACGAGAAGCUUGCUUCUCUGAUGUUAGCGGCGGACGGGUGAGUAACACGUGGAUAACCUACCUAUAAGACUGGGAUAACUUCGGGAAACCGGAGCUAAUACCGGAUAAUAUUUUGAACCGCAUGGUUCAAAAGUGAAAGACGGUCUUGCUGUCACUUAUAGAUGGAUCCGCGCUGCAUUAGCUAGUUGGUAAGGUAACGGCUUACCAAGGGAACUAUGCAUAGCCGACCGGAGAGGGUGAUCGGCCACACGGGAACGGAGACACGGUCCAGACGCCUACGGGAGGCAGCAGAAGGGAAUCGUCCGCAAUGGGCGAAAGCCUGACGGAGCAACGCCGCGUGAGUGAUGAAGGUCUUCGGAGCGGAAAACUCUGUUAUUAGGGAAGAACAGAUGUGUAAGUAACUGUGCACAGCGUGACGGUACCUAAUCAGAAAGCCACGGCUAACUACGUG